AUGCUCAUUUCGGCAGCACAUAUACUAAAAUUAGAAUGAUACGGAGAAGAUUAGCACGGCCCCUGUGCAAGGAUGACAUGCAAAUUUGUGAAGCAUUCCAUAUAACU
ensembl:snRNA U6 U6 spliceosomal RNA